GUGGGGAAUAUUGGACAAUGGGCGAAAGCCUGAUCCAGCCAUGCCGCGUGUGUGAAGAAGGUCUUCGGAUUGUAAAGCACUUUAAGUUGGGAGGAAGGGCAGUAAGUUAAUACCUUGCUGUUUUGACGUUACCGACAGAAUAAGCACCGGCUAACUUCGUGCCAGCAGCCGCGGUAAUACGAAGGGUGCAAGCGUUAAUCGGAAUUACUGGGCGUAAAGCGCGCGUAGGUGGUUUUGUAAGUUGGAGGUGAAAUCCCCGGGCUCAACCUGGGAACUGCCUCCAAAACUGCAUGACUAGAGUAAGGUAGAGUGUAGUGGAAUUUCCUGUGUAGCGGUGAAAUGCGUAGAUAUAGGAAGGAACACCAGUGGCGAAGGCGACUACCUGGACUGAUACUGACACUGAGGUGCGAAAGCGUGGGGAGCAAACAGGAUUAGAAACCCGUGUAGUCC
rnacentral:rRNA from 1 species